rnacentral:lncRNA from 1 species
AGCCUCAUGCCAUCUACCAUUGCCAAGUUAUGCCACUUCCUGCACUUUUACACCAAAGGAGUUCUUAGUAUAUGCAAUGCAAAAUAACAUGAAAUGCAACUAAAAACACACUAAAAUGUACUUAAGAUGAGCAUAGUUCGCGUGAAUUGAUAUCCAAUAAGUAGGUAUAAAAUCCACUUAUCAGCAUGUGUUUCUAAAAGUUUCUCCUUGGAAGGGC